AACUGUCUCUUACGGACUAGCCAAUGAAAUUGAUCCUUCAGUACAAAAGCUGAAAUUAACCCAUAAGACGAGAAGACCCUGUGGAGCUUCAAAACCAAAACCACUAAACAUGCCUCCUGGUUUUUUAGUUGGGGCGACUUUGGAGCAAAAAAAACCCUCCAAAACAUAAAUCUAUUUAUUAAGAACAACACACCAAAAAUAAUAUUAUAGACCCAGCAGUAUUAAUUUACUGUCUGAUCAAUGAACCAAGUUACCCCAGGGAUAACAGCGCUAUCCUCUUCUAGAGUCCUUAUCGACAAGGGGGUUUACGACCUCGAUGUUGGAUCAGGACAC
rnacentral:rRNA from 1 species